UGGUCAGGAGACGGAGGCUGGACAGCAGGGGUGUGUCCGGUAACCUGACAGCCAGGAUUGUAGCCUGGCAAGUUGCCUGGUCCAAAACCCGCAUGGCCUCCUGCUGAAAUAACCCUCCCGGCCUCCGGUCGCCUCCGGUCGGCUUCCCGCUGCCGUUCCCCGAGUGAACACCUGACCCCUGGAGCUUUGAAUCGUCCGCACCUGCCGCUUCUGCGGCCACGCCCUGCCAGCUCAGCUCCGAGACCGGCCUCGUCUGCCAGGCGCUUGGAGAGUACUCGUGGAGUGCAGGGUUUCAAGCAUCGGUUCCCUUGAACGCACCUCCGACGUGCCGCGGAGAUCAGGAAACGUGAUACGUGUGCAGAAGCCCAGCGUCCAGCCAGCUCACUGGGGCACGACGGAGCAGCCAGCCAGCAGCCUUUGAAGGAGCUACGAGGGAUUAAAAUAGCUGGCAGUAGCACACACGCCGAGCCCCCAAGUGAGCCCCUUUGGGAGGCUCCCUGCAGCCCACGGCGAGGUUUGCUGACAGCUCGUGCUCUUGCUCUGGAGGCCCGAGGUCCAAAAUCCACGUCGCCGGGCUGAAGUCAAGGUGUCGGCGGGGCUGCGCUUCCUGCAGAGGUUCCGGGAAGAAUCCGCUCCCCGUCUCUCCCAGCUGCCAGUGCUCCUUGGCUUGCGGCCGCAUCGCGCCGACCUCGGUGCAGGCAUCUUCAGAUCUCUCCCCUCCCAUCCGUGUGUGUGGUCAGAUCUCCCUCUCUGCCUCUCUGAGGAUGCUUGUGACUGCAUUUAGGGCCCACCCAGGUAAUUCAGGAUAAUCUCCCAUCUCAAGGUCCUUAACUGUAUCACCUCUGCGAAGACCAACCCCACGAUUUUUAACCGUGUAAGGUCACAUCCACCGGUCCUAGGGAUUAGGACGUGGAUGUAUCCUGGGGGGGCAUUAUUCCGCAUACCCCGGGCAGCUUCUCAAACGUUCUGUUUCUGGGACUGAAACCCUUUUUCCUUCCUGUGCGGGUCUCUAGCUGAGGGUUAGAGGAAAGACCCGUCGUUAGUUAAAAAUUGUUACCGUGAAGCCAGCUAACUGUACACAUCCCCCGAUCCCCUGAGCUAGAUGCCGUCAGGGACGACUGACCAUCAGUGUAAAUAGUCUCUAAGGAGCAGUUAGGCGAGGUGCAUUGAGCCUUGAAUAUGCUCAUGCCCUUUGGUAGAAGAAGGCGGCUGAUACGAUUUGUGCGUAAAAAGCCGUUCGCCGAAGGGGUCACGUACUCUGCAGGGUGAAUGUCCAGCCACAGAUGCUGGGCCAGUUCAUCAUCGUCCGUCCAUCCGUAGCAGCUGUUCUUCAACUUUGAGGGCGUAGGUCCCCUUCACUCAAAAUUAUUGGGGACUCCAAAGAGCUUUUGGUUGAAUGCAUUGUACUUAUUGAUAUGUACUGUAUUAGACCUUAAAGUGGAGAAUAUUUAAAUAGGCUUAAUUCAUUGAAUAAUGGCCCUUCGUAUGUUAACGUAGGAGUAUUUUCAGGGAACAGAGUGGCAUUGCUUUACAGUUUUGCAAAUCUCAUUAACGUCUGGCUAAAUAGACGUCUGCUGGAGCUCCUUUCCGGCCUGUUUUCUAUCAGUUGUGACGUCACAUGUCACGGGGCUUCCAGAAAACUCUAUUGUACACUCAGGAGGGAGUGGGAGUGACGGAAGAAAAUAACAUCUCAAUCUUUUUUAUUUUUGCCUGUGCCGUGAGGCUCGUGGGAUCUUAGUUCCCUGACCAGGGAUUGAACCUGGGCCCUGGCAGUGAAAGCGCCGAGUCCUAACCACUGGGCCUCCAGGGAAUUCCCCAUCUCAGUGUUAUUAUGAACAUGGCUUUGACCCCGGAGGUGCCCUGCUAGGGUAUUGGGAAUCCAAUACCCUAGACCAAACUUGGAACUGGUGAUAAAAGAUGGAGUGUUGUGUAGCCGUUAAAAUGAUCGUGAAGGAGGCGUACAAUGCACGUGUCCAUGCUGGUGAUAAAUGAAGAAUAUAGAUUACACACAGUGUCACCUGCAAAAUAUGCAGACAACGUGUGCACCGGAAGAAAAUACGUCGAAAUGCAAG